rnacentral:ncRNA from 2 species
GCGUUCCUCACUGGAGAGAGGCGCUCCCACCCCGGCGAGCGCCCACCGAAGGGGCAAGCGUUGCAGGUGUUGAAGCACCGCACGCCAAUCUCUCAGGUAAAGCGGACAGCGAGGGCAAG